CUGCCCCGGGGAGGGGCGCUGGGGGCGGCGGCGAGGAUCUAGUUGCGCGCGCGCAUGCGCCUCCCGCCCCUCUCCCGGGACACCAGGGCUGCGCGUCUCCCAGGAGGCGCCGACGCCCCUCCCUCUACAGGCGGGAAAACUGAGGCUGCGGAGGGGACGCUCUUGCCCAAGGCCCACGGCGAGGUGGGCCGAGGAAGGGGCAGGACCCCGGCCCCGAGACUCCCAGGCGCCUUUCCAGCAAGCCCAGCGUACUCUGCGUGUCGCGGGCCACUUUGGGUCUAACUGUCGCGCGUGGGUGAGUGUCGCCGCGGUGUGCGCCUCGAGCCGGGCAGCGACCGCGCCGGCGUAUCUGUGCCUCGGCGCGUCUGCGGACGGCACGUGUCUUUACAGCCGCGCGUGUGCCCGCAAGUGGGUGUGCGCGCCGUGCCGCCCGGGAAGCGGGAGGUCCUGCGGGCGUGCGCCGGACCUGUUGUCAGCAGGCCUGGCAGAUGGGAACUCGGCUCCGGAAUUAAUUGCUUGUUUGUCUCCGGCUGGGAGGCCGCCCCCCCCGCCCUUCCCUGGCGACCAGUUGCUCUGUGCCUAGCCGGGCCCCAAAUGUCGCCGGCAUCCGCGGCCGCAGGCAGCUCUGGGGCCAGGCUCCGGGUCAGCCCCAAAGCCGGGGUCAAGCCAGGCAGGCGCGGCGGGCGGGCUCCCCGUGACGCGAGCGCCCCCUGCCGGCCGCUGCGCACACGGCUCCGAGACUGGGGAGACUCAGCGCCGCGCGUCCCAGGCCUGAUGCGCACUCGGAAACUCCGAAGGUCGUGAUCCGGGCGGAGACCAAGACACGCGGCUGCCGGCGCAUACGCCUGGGGGCCCGGAAGCGCUUCCCCUACCCAUCUCAUCUCAGCCUGGAGAAUGAAAACGGGCGUCAGCCCACAUCUGGAUCUGGGUACCCAGGACAACACCCAAACCCCACCCCGCACUGCCGGCAGACAGCACCGCCUCCCGCCGCUCCACUGCUCCAGGACACACACUCUCUAUAUCCCGUCCCCCCACCCACACACGCAACACAGAAGCACGCAGCGGUCGGGAGCACCGGUCCUGCGCCCCUGGCCGGCCACACCCGCAACUUCAGCGCUUCUACCGCCGCGGCGCUUCGGGAAGCACAAGCUCACAUCCCAUAUCCGCAGAACACGGGGUGCACAAGGCUGGAGUCACCUCGGGGGCUCACGACCAGUCAGGGGCCCCGACCCCCUACUUCGCCCAUCCUAGCAAGGCGCAAGAAUCACCAUAAACGCUGGAUUUGCUGACCACAUGGCCGAUCGUGACCACCUGCUCUGUACUCACCCAGGCUUCUGAUCAGGAGAGAGGCGGGGAAGAGCUGCCCCCUCCCUGCGUCCACCAUCACUCCUGGCCUGGGAUCAGGGCAAGUUAUAAAGGGGGCCAGAGUCCCCCCUUUCUCUCUGUCCCUCUCCAGGAGGACACUCUGGGGACCACCCACCCUUCUCCCUCCCCCACAGGAAGGGGACUGGAGAAGACUGUCCUCUUCCCCCAUCCUGUCUCAUCCAAGACUCUGAGCCUGGGGCGGGGAGAGAGGGGGCUCCCUUCAGCAGACCAAGGGCUUCUGGGAGGCCACCCGCCAUGUCAGUGGAUUGAUUAAAGUCAUUGUGGGGAUUUUUUUUAACAUUUAAUUUACCAGGCACGCGGCGGCUGGUCAGAGCUGUCCCCAGGGAAAUCUAGACCAAGGGAGCAAAACAGAAAAAAACCUCCUACCAUUCAGCAGGGCCCCUCUGAUGGGAUUAAUUGCUGGAACUCAGCUUCCAUUCAGACCACACGCAGCAAUGUUUCAGGGAGGGAGGAGGACAUGGGGCUUGAGUGCUCAGAUUCCUUCCCUGGGUGCUUGGAGCCCAGGGCCCUCCAUACCGCCAUCUCUCCCCAGCCUGCUGGUGCCGGUCAAGAGCCCCGCCCCCCACCUCUCCGCACCUUCGUGUCUUCAUGUGUGAUGAGGUGGACGGUACCCGGAGGCAGACCAGUCCCUCCAGAGCCCACCCCACCCCCAUCCACGUCCCUUCAGUGUGCAGGGCGAGAGCUGGAGGCACCCCAGACACGCUCCCAUGGAAACUGAACACUUGCCAGAGGUGUCUUUAGUAGUGGAAACCGGCUGGGUAGG